rnacentral:rRNA from 1 species
UACGAAGGGUGCAAGCGUUACUCGGAAUUACUGGGCGUAAAGCGUGCGUAGGUGGUUUGUUAAGUCUGAUGUGAAAGCCCUGGGCUCAACCUGGGAAUUGCAUUGGAUACUGGCAGGCUAGAGUGCGGUAGAGGAUGGCGGAAUUCCCGGUGUAGCAGUGAAAUGCGUAGAGAUCGGGAAGAACACCAGUGGCGAAGGCGGUCUGCUGGGCCGUUGCUGACGCUGAGGCGCGACAGCGUGGGGAGCAAACAGG